rnacentral:tRNA from 1 species
GCCGGGUUGGGGUAGGGGUUAUCCUUGGGGACUGUGGAUCCCCGGACCCGGGUUCAAUUCCCGGACCCGGCC